rnacentral:rRNA from 1 species
CCAGGAUGUUGGCUUAGAAGCAGCCAUCAUUUAAAGAAAGCGUAAUAGCUCACUGGUCGAGUCGGCCUGCGCGGAAGAUGUAACGGGGCUAAACCAUGCACCGAAGCUGCGGCAGCGAACGUAUCACUUAAAGCGAUUCAGCGGGUUACGAUUGACGGAGCGAAGCGACGUCAAAGCGUAUACAAAGUCGAGUCGGUUUAAGGAUACGUUCGUUGGGUAGGGGAGCGUUCUGUAAGCCCGUGAAGGUGGCCUGUGAGGGUUGCUGGAGGUAUCA